GAUGAACGCUGGCGGCGUGCCUAACACAUGCAAGUCGAGCGAGAAGUUUAUGGAAUAAGUCUUCGGACAAGUAAAGUAAAUGGAAAACGGCGGACGGGUGAGUAACGCGUAGGCAACCUGCCCCAUACAGAGGGAUAGCCUCGAGAAAUCGGGAUUAAAACCUCAUAAUGCCAUCGAGUCACAUGGCUCUUUGGCCAAAGAUUUAUCGGUAUGGGAUGGGCCUGCGUCUGAUUAGCUAGUUGGUGAGGUAACGGCUCACCAAGGCUGCGAUCAGUAGCAGAACUGAGAGGGUCAUCUGCCACAUUAGAACUGCGAGACGGUCCAAACUCCUACGGGAAGCAGCAGUGAGGAAUAUUGCACAAUGGGCCGAGGCCUGAUGCAGCAUCGCCGCGUGAGCGAUGAAGGCCUUUGGAUCGUAAAGCUCUGUCCUUGGGGAAGAAACAAAUGACGGUACCCUUGGAGGAAGCCCCGGCUAACUACGUGCCAGCCGCCGCCGUAA
rnacentral:rRNA from 1 species